rnacentral:rRNA from 1 species
CCGGCGAUGUCCGAAUGGGGAAACCCAGUGCAAUUCGUUGCACUAUCGUUAACUGAAUACAUAGGUUAACGAGGCGAACCGGGGGAACUGAAACAUCUAAGUACCCCGAGGAAAAGAAAUCAACCGAGAUUCCCCCAGUAGCGGCGAGCGAACGGGGAGCAGCCCAGAGUCUGAAUCAGCUUGUGUGUUAGUGGAACGGUCUGGAAAGUCCGACGGUACAGGGUGAUAGUCCCGUACACCAAAAUGCACAGGCUGUGAACUCGAAGAGUAGGGCGGGACACGUGGUAUCCUGUCUGAAUAUGGGGGGACCAUCCUCCAAGGCUAAAUACUCCUGACUGACCGAUAGUGAACCAGUACCGUGAGGGAAAGGCGAAAAGAACCCCGGCGAGGGGAGUGAAAAAGAACCUGAAACCGUGUACGUACAAGCAGUGGGAGCACCUUCGGGUGUGACUGCGUACCUUUUGUAUAAUGGGUCAGCGACUUAUAUUCUGUAGCAAGGUUAACCGUAUAGGGGAGCCGCAGGGAAACCGAGUCUUAACUGGGCGUUAAGUUGCAGGGUAUAGACCCGAAACCCGGUGAUCUAGCCAUGGGCAGGUUGAAGGUUGGGUAACACUAACUGGAGGACCGAACCGACUAAUGUUGAAAAAUUAGCGGAUGACUUGUGGCUGGGGGUGAAAGGCCAAUCAAACCGGGAGAUAGCUGGUUCUCCCCGAAAGCUAUUUAGGUAGCGCCUCGUGAAUUCAUCUUCGGGGGUAGAGCACUGUUUCGGCUAGGGGGUCAUCCCGACUUACCAACCCGAUGCAAACUACGAAUACCGAAGAAUGUUAUCACGGGAGACACACGGCGGGUGCUAACGUCCGUCGUGAAGAGGGAAACAACCCAGACCGCCAGCUAAGGUCCCAAAGUCAUGGUUAAGUGGGAAACGAUGUGGGAAGGCACAGACAGCCAGGAUGUUGGCUUAGAAGCAGCCAUCAUUUAAAGAAAGCGUAAUAGCUCACUGGUCGAGUCGGCCUGCGCGGAAGAUGUAACGGGGCUAAACCAUGCACCGAAGCUGCGGCAGCGACACUAUGUGUUGUUGGGUAGGGGAGCGUUCUGUAAGCCUGCGAAGGUGUGCUGUGAGGCAUGCUGGAGGUAUCAGAAGUGCGAAUGCUGACAUAAGUAACGAUAAAGCGGGUGAAAAGCCCGCUCGCCGGAAGACCAAGGGUUCCUGUCCAACGUUAAUCGGGGCAGGGUGAGUCGACCCCUAAGGCGAGGCCGAAAGGCGUAGUCGAUGGGAAACAGGUUAAUAUUCCUGUACUUGGUGUUACUGCGAAGGGGGGACGGAGAAGGCUAUGUUAGCCGGGCGACGGUUGUCCCGGUUUAAGCAUGUAGGCUGGUUAUCCAGGCAAAUCCGGAUAAUCAAGGCUGAGGUGUGAUGACGAGGCACUACGGUGCUGAAGUAACAAAUGCCCUGCUUCCAGGAAAAGCCUCUAAGCAUCAGGUAACAUUAAAUCGUACCCCAAACCGACACAGGUGGUCAGGUAGAGAAUACCAAGGCGCUUGAGAGAACUCGGGUGAAGGAACUAGGCAAAAUGGUGCCGUAACUUCGGGAGAAGGCACGCUGGUGUGUAGGUGAAGUCCCUGCGGAUGGAGCUGAGACCAGUCGAAGAUACCAGCUGGCUGCAACUGUUUAUUAAAAACACAGCACUGUGCAAACACGAAAGUGGACGUAUACGGUGUGACGCCUGCCCGGUGCCGGAAGGUUAAUUGAUGGGGUUAUCCGUAAGGAGAAGCUCUUGAUCGAAGCCCCGGUAAACGGCGGCCGUAACUAUAACGGUCCUAAGGUAGCGAAAUUCCUUGUCGGGUAAGUUCCGACCUGCACGAAUGGCGUAAUGAUGGCCAGGCUGUCUCCACCCGAGACUCAGUGAAAUUGAACUCGCUGUGAAGAUGCAGUGUACCCGCGGCAAGACGGAAAGACCCCGUGAACCUUUACUAUAGCUUGACACUGAACAUUGAGCCUUGAUGUGUAGGAUAGGUGGGAGGCUUUGAAGCGUGGACGCCAGUCUGCGUGGAGCCAACCUUGAAAUACCACCCUUUAAUGUUUGAUGUUCUAACGUUGGCCCCUUACCGGGGUUGCGGACAGUGUCUGGUGGGUAGUUUGACUGGGGCGGUCUCCUCCCAAAGCGUAACGGAGGAGCACGAAGGUUAGCUAAUCCUGGUCGGACAUCAGGAGGUUAGUGCAAUGGCAUAAGCUAGCUUGACUGCGAGCGUGACGGCGCGAGCAGGUGCGAAAGCAGGUCAUAGUGAUCCGGUGGUUCUGAAUGGAAGGGCCAUCGCUCAACGGAUAAAAGGUACUCCGGGGAUAACAGGCUGAUACCGCCCAAGAGUUCAUAUCGACGGCGGUGUUUGGCACCUCGAUGUCGGCUCAUCACAUCCUGGGGCUGAAGUAGGUCCCAAGGGUAUGGCUGUUCGCCAUUUAAAGUGGUACGCGAGCUGGGUUUAGAACGUCGUGAGACAGUUCGGUCCCUAUCUGCCGUGGGCGCUGGAGAAUUGAGGGGGGCUGCUCCUAGUACGAGAGGACCGGAGUGGACGCAUCACUGGUGUUCGGGUUGUCAUGCCAAUGGCACUGCCCGGUAGCUAAAUGCGGAAGAGAUAAGUGCUGAAAGCAUCUAAGCACGAAACUUGCCCCGAGAUGAGUUCUCCCUGAGACUUUAAGUCUCCUGAAGGAACGUUGAAGACGACGACGUUGAUAGGCCGGGUGUGUAAGCGCAGCGAUGCGUUGAGCUAACCGGUACUAAUGAACCGUGAGGCUUAACCUUACAACGCCGAAG